rnacentral:rRNA from 1 species
UACAGAGGUCCCAAGCGUUGUUCGGAUUCACUGGGCGUAAAGGGUGCGUAGGUGGUGAGGUAAGUCGGAUGUGAAAUCUCCGGGCUCAACCCGGAAAUGGCAUUGGAAACUACCUUGCUGGAGGAUUUGAGGGGGGAUUGGAAUACUUGGUGUAGCAGUGAAAUGCGUAGAUAUCAAGUGGAACACCAGUGGCGAAGGCGAAUCCCUGGAAAAUACCUGACACUGAGGCACGAAGGCCAGGGGAGCAAACGGG